CCCUUAGAUGUUCUGGGCCGCACGCGCGCUACACUGAUGCAUUCAACGAGUCUAAAACCUGGUCUGAUAGGGCUGGGUAAUCUUUUGAAUGUGCAUCGUGAUUGGGAUAGAUGAUUGCAAUUCUUCAUCUUCAACGAGGAAUGCCUAGUAAACGCAAGUCAUCAGCUUGCAUUGAUUACGUCCCUGCCCUUUGUACACACCGCCCGUCGCUCCUACCGAUUGAAUGUUCCGAUGAAUACCAUGGACUGAGAGUAUGAAUGGGUACGCUUAUUUCUGCUUCUCGGGAAGUGGAGUAAAUCUUAACAUUUAGAGGAAGGAGAAGUCGUAACA
rnacentral:rRNA from 1 species